AUUGAACGCUGGCGGCAUGCUUUACACAUGCAAGUCGGACGAGUGGCGAACGGGUGGGUAAUAUAUCUGAACGUACCGAGUAAUGGGGGAUAGCUAAUCGAAAGAUUAGCUAAUACCGCAUAUUAUUCGAUCGGCCGAUAUCUGAUUAGGUAGUUGUUGGGGUAAAGGCCUACCAAGGCGACGAUCAGUAGCGGGUCUGAGAGGAUGAUCAGCCACACUGGGACUGAGACACGGCCCAGACUCCUACGGGAGGCAGCAGUGGGGAAUUUUGGACAAUGGGCGAAAGCCUGAUCCAGCCAUGCCGCGUGUCUGAAGAAGGCCUUCGGGUUGUAAAGGACUUUUGGCAGGGAAGCGGUACCUGAAGAAUAAGCACCGGCUAACUACGUGCCAGCAGCCGCGGUAAUUC
rnacentral:rRNA from 1 species